GCUUACCUGUGGAGCACUCUGGUCCUGUAGGAUUUGGUUUGUUAUUUUAGUUCAGUGAUUUACAGUUUGAGAGCUUUUGGAUCUUGCUUUGUUAUCAACAUUUUCCCAUUGGCUGAGAUUUCCCUUGCCUGCUCUGAGCUACAGGGCAGCCUUCCCCUCUGAUAGGCAUUAACAAACACAGCAGCUAACCUGGGGCUGACACAGCUGCAGCAUUUAUGCGAGUCACAUUGACAUCAAAUAGCAACCAUAUGCAUGGGGCCAGAGGUUAUACUUCUGCAGCAAAUUCGAUGCGACGAGGAAUGAAGUGCUAAUCUGUUAGUACUGUCAGCAUGCUGUCUGCAGAGGAAAUCAGAUCAUGUCCAAACAGAAAACUUUGCUUCAAGUAUGAAAAUGGUUUGUGAUAUAACAAGUUUCUUCAUUAUGAUAAUGUUGAUAGAGGCGGUUUCUCUCCGUAGGACUGAAACACAUGAUUCUCUGAGCAGAAAGGAGUGAUCCUCAGGGAUCUGAAUGCAUCUGGAAGACCUUCUCAUGAUGUGCUUAUUUUUUCUCAUGCCAGCUGAUGAUGCAUGGCAGCAGGGAUCAGAAGAAUCUACAUUCAGGAAAGAAAGGUAUCUCUGCAACAGGACUGACAAGGAGAAAAAGGAAUUACAAAACAGCAUGUUUUCUUUUCCCCUCAAAUGAGCAGUAAGCCAAUUAAAAUAUUCUAUCAUUAAUUAGUUUGGAAAUGAAGUAGAAAGUAGUCAAUGUUAAGACUGAAAUCUCAAGAUCCUCUUCUUUUAUACUCUUACCUUUACUGCAGUGCGGUCAUCCAUAUAAGCAGAAUUAGGCAUGUACAUUCAGCAUCUGCAGAAUCUUCACCUAUUUCAGCACAGUCCAUAUGAGAUAGUAAGGAUAUCCGCUCUGAGGAUUCCCAGCAUGUAAAUAUUGAAGAGUAUGGUUAACUACGUAUCAUGGCUGCUUUUCUGAAUUUACACGAGGAGCCUAAUGCUUUAGGAGUCAGAGACACGUGCAUUUCUUAGGUAAUACUUAAGUGCUUAGGAUCCUAUUCAGAGUCACUGAUAUGCAGGAAGUUAAGGCCCUCAUGCAGUUAUUGCAGAUCCCUUUUAGGCUUCUUUCUUUUGCAACUCACUGAGGAAUAUUUCUCUUUGUAUCUUGGACAACUGUGGCAAGCAGCCCUGAGAUUAGAAAUCAUGGCAACUCCUUGGUCUCUUAGCAGAAAAGGCAGUUCUGGUUACAUAUAUGAAAAACUCAGAAAAAAUAUCCGAACUGAUUGCAAGGUUACGUGAAUGCUGGGUGUAACUUCAACCCUUUCAAAUAUCUUGCAGCACCUCAGCCCUCUGGAAUGGACAGGUUUCAGUAAUUGCAUGUCAGACAUCACACGUAGCUGGGAGGAGUAAAUGAAAAGAUAUGACACAAAGCCAAGAGAAGUACGUUUCAGUGACAGUAAAUACUGAAGGAUCCCAU
rnacentral:lncRNA from 1 species